AGAGCGAACGCUGGCGGCAGGCUUAACACAUGCAAGUCGAGCGCCCCGCAAGGGGAGCGGCAGACGGGUGAGUAACACGUGGGAACGUGCCUUUUGGUUCGGAACAACACAGGGAAACUUGUGCUAAUACCGGAUAAGCCCUUACGGGGGAAAGAUUUAUCGCCAAAAGAUCGGCCCGCGUCUGAUUAGCUAGUUGGUGGGGUAAUCGGCCCACCAAGGCGACGAUCAGUAGCUGGUCUGAGAGGAUGAUCAGCCACAUUGGGACUGAGAC
rnacentral:rRNA from 1 species